rnacentral:rRNA from 1 species
CGGGAGAAUUGCUAGCUUGCUAAUAAUUCUCUAGUGGCGCACGGGUGAGUAACACGUGAGUAACCUGCCCCCAAGAGUGGGAUAGCCCCGGGAAACUGGGAUUAAUACCGCAUAAAAUCGCAAGAUUAAAGCAGCAAUGCGCUUGGGGAUGGGCUCGCGUCCUAUUAGUUAGUUGGUGAGGUAACGGCUCACCAAGGCGAUGACGGGUAGCCGGUCUGAGAGGAUGUCCGGCCACACUGGAACUGAGACACGGUCCAGACACCUACGGGUGGCAGCAGUCGAGAAUCAUUCACAAUGGGGGAAACCCUGAUGGUGCGACGCCGCGUGGGGGAAUGAAGGUCUUCGGAUUGUAAACCCCUGUCAUGUGGGAGCAAAUUAAAAAGAUAGUACCACAAGAGGAAGAGACGGCUAACUCUGUGUCAGCAGCCGCGGUAAUACAGAGGUCUCAAGCGUUGUUCGGAAUCACUGGGCGUAAAGCGUGCGUAGGCGGUUUCGUAAGUCGUGUGUGAAAGGCGGGGGCUCAACCCCCGGACUGCACAUGAUACUGCGAGACUAGAGUAAUGGAGGGGGAACCGGAAUUCUCGGUGUAGCAGUGAAAUGCGUAGAUAUCGAGAGGAACACUCGUGGCGAAGGCGGGUUCCUGGACAUUAACUGACGCUGAGGCACGAAGGCCAGGGGAGCGAAAGGGAUUAGAUACCCCUGUAGUCCUGGCAGU